rnacentral:rRNA from 1 species
AGGGCACCACCAGGAGUGGAGCCUGCGGCUUAAUUUGACUCAACACGGGGAAACUUACCCGGCCUGGACACUGGAAGGAUUGACAGAUUGAGAGCUCUUUCUUGAUUCAGUGGGUGGUGGUGCAUGGCCGUUCUUAGUUGGUGGAGCGAUUUGUCUGGUUAAUUCCGAUAACGAACGAGACUCUAGCCUAUUAAAUAGGCUCCCGGCUUUUAAACGCCGGGAGGACUUCUUAGAGGGACAGGUGGCGGUUCAGCCGCACGAAAGAGAGCAAUAACAGGUCUGUGAUGCCCUUUGUUGUCCGGGGCCGCACGCGCGCUACACUGAAGAGAUCAGCGUGCUUUAUGUUCCUGCUCCGACCGGAGUGGGGAACCCAGUGAACCUUCUUCGUGAUUGGGAUAGAAGAUUGUAAUUAUUCUUCUUGAACGAGGAACUCCCAGUAAAUGCGAGUCAUAAGCUCGCGUUGAUUACGUCCCUGCCCUUUGUACACACCGCCUGUCGCUACUACCGAUUGAACGAUUU